rnacentral:tRNA from 2 species
AGCGUCUUGGAGCAGUGGCAGCUCGUUGGGCUCAUAACCCAAAGGUCUCCGGAUCGACACCGGAAGACGCUA